rnacentral:misc_RNA from 1 species
AAGAAUGUCCCGUUUUUCGAAAUGGGUUCUAUUCCCAAACCGUGUCUACAUACCUUUGUUGCUUUGGCGGGCCGCCUUCGGGCGUUGGCCUCGGCUAAUUGUGCCCGCCAGAGGACCCAAACUCGUUUUGUUUAGUGAUGUCUGAGUACUAUAAAAUAGUUA